ACUGCUCAGUAACACGUGGACAACCUGCCCUUAGGACGGGGAUAAACCCGGGAAACUGGGUAUAAUACCCGAUAGGUCUCGAUUGCUGGAAUGCAUCGAGAUUUAAAGCUCCGGCGCCUAAGGAUGGGUCUGCGGCCUAUCAGGUAGUAGUGGGUGUAGCGUACCUACUAGCCUACGACGGGUACGGGUUGUGAGAGCAAGAGCCCGGAGAUGGAUUCUGAGACACGAAUCCAGGCCCUACGGGGUGCAGCAGGCGCGAAAACUUUACAAUGCGGGAAACCGUGAUAAGGGAAUCUCGAGUGCCAGCAUAUAAUGUUGGCUGUCCAGAUGCCUAAAAAGCAUCUGUUAGCAAGGGCCGGGCAAGACCGGUGCCAGCCGCCGCGGUAACACCGGCGGCCCGAGUGGUAACCGCUUUUAUUGGGUCUAAAGGGUCUGUAGCCGGCCAAGUAAGUCCCUUGGGAAAUCUGGCAGCUUAACUGUCAGGCUGCUAGGGGAUACUGCUAGGCUUGGGACCGGGAGAGGUGAGAGGUACCUUGGGGGUAGGGGUGAAAUCUUGUGAUCCUCGGGGGACCACCAGUGGCGAAGGCGUCUCACCAGAACGGGUCCGACGGUAAGGGACGAAAGCUAGGGGCACGAACCGGAUUAGAUACCCGGGUAGUCCUAGCCGUAAACGAUGCUCGCUAGGUGUCAGUCACGGUGCGACCGUGAUUGGUGCCGUAGGGAAGCCGUGAAGCGAGCCACCUGGGAAGUAUGGCCGCAAGGCUGAAACUUAAAGGAAUUGGCGGGGGAGCAC
rnacentral:rRNA from 1 species